CAUGCAGUCGAACGAUGAUGCCCAGCUUGCUGGGUUGAUUAGUGGCGAACGGGUGAGUAACACGUGAGUAACCUGCCCCUGACUCUGGGAUAAGCGUUGGAAACGACGUCUAAUACUGGAUAUGAUCGCCGGCCGCAUGGUCUGGUGGUGGAAAGAUUUUUUGGUUGGGGAUGGACUCGCGGCCUAUCAGCUUGUUGGUGAGGUAAUGGCUCACCAAGGCGACGACGGGUAGCCGGCCUGAGAGGGUGACCGGCCACACUGGGACUGAGACACGGCCCAGACUCCUACGGGAGGCAGCAGUGGGGAAUAUUGCACAAUGGGCGAAAGCCUGAUGCAGCAACGCCGCGUGAGGGAUGACGGCCUUCGGGUUGUAAACCUCUUUUAGUAGGGAAGAAGCGAAAGUGACGGUACCUGCAGAAAAAGCACCGGCUAACUACGUGCCAGCAGCCGCGGUAAUACGUAGGGUGCAAGCGUUGUCCGGAAUUAUUGGGCGUAAAGAGCUCGUAGGCGGUUUGUCGCGUCUGCUGUGAAAUCCCGAGGCUCAACCUCGGGCUUGCAGUGGGUACGGGCAGACUAGAGUGCGGUAGGGGAGAUUGGAAUUCCUGGUGUAGCGGUGGAAUGCGCAGAUAUCAGGAGGAACACCGAUGGCGAAGGCAGAUCUCUGGGCCGUAACUGACGCUGAGGAGCGAAAGCAUGGGGAGCGAACAGGAUUAGAUACCCUGGUAGUCCAUGCCGUAAACGUUGGGCGCUAGAUGUAGGGACCUUUCCACGGUUUCUGUGUCGUAGCUAACGCAUUAAGCGCCCCGCCUGGGGAGUACGGCCGCAAGGCUAAACUCAAAGGAAUUGACGGGGGCCCGCACAAGCGGCGGAGCAUGCGGAUUAAUUCGAUGCAACGCGAAGAACCUUACCAAGGCUUGACAUACCCCGGAAACGGCCAGAGAUGGUCGCCCCCUUGUGGUCGGUGUACAGGGUGGUGCAUGGUUGUCGUCAGCUCCUG
rnacentral:rRNA from 1 species